rnacentral:tRNA from 3 species
GGGGCUAUAGCUCAGCUGGGAGAGCGCCUCGCUGGCAGCGAGGAGGUCGGCGGUUCGAUCCCGCCUAGCUCCACCA